GAUCCUGGCUCAGGAUGAACGCUAGCGGCAGGCUUAACACAUGCAAGUCGAGGGGCAGCACGGGGCGGCAACGUCCUGGCGGCGACCGGCGGAAGGGUGCGUAACGCGUGAGCGACAUGCCCGUUGCCCGGGGACAACCGGUGGAAACGCCGACUAAUCCCCGAUGGGACGGAGGCCCUCAUGGGUCUCUGUUGAAAGUUACGGCGGCGACGGAUUGGCUCGCGUCCGAUUAGCCUGUUGGCGGGGUAACGGCCCACCAAGG
rnacentral:rRNA from 1 species